rnacentral:lncRNA from 1 species
UGGGCAAGUCACUUCCCCUCUCUGAGCUCAAAGUUCCUCUUCUGGAAGUGAAGAUAGUACAGUAGCCUUCCGACUAGAGGCUGGGAGGGUGUGCUUCACGUCUGCCACCCAGGCAGUGUGACCACACUUCAGAAACAUAGGCACACUCCACCCCAGGGCCUUUGCAUACACUGUUUUGUCUGCCUGGACCCCCUUACCAAAAUGGCCAGCUUCUGCACCCUGGUCCACACUCCCAUCUUGCUCGAUUCAUCUCCAUGGCUCUAACCGCUGUCUCAGGCUUGGUGGCUUUGUUUAUAUGCCCAUGCUCCCAGACCAGCUCAUUUUGGCCCAUCUUGCUCACUGUAGCCAUCCCCUCCACUCUUGAAAGAAACAGCACAAGAAAAUCAUCCAUAAGAGCUGGAGGUGAAUGAAGGAAUGAAUGAAAGACACUUAGCUCCACACCCACCCUCUGAAGCUCUCACUCCAAAGCUGGGCGGUGGGGGUGAUUUCCAUGGCCCCCUCCCAGCAUCCCUGGAGUCCAGCCUCUUCCAAGCCAACCGUCCCCAGCUGCUGCCUCUCCCAGAUCUUCCUGCUGCCCUGCAGUCGGUCCUGGUCCCAGGAGAUCCUACAGUCAUUCUGCAAACUGAAGAUUCAAGGCUAGCCCCUCCUGGAGUGGGGACAGAGUGAAGCAACGCUGAGGGCUGCUCCUGGAGCCUGCUGCAGCCCCUUUGAUUCCAUUUAAAUAUCUCCACAAGCGGUUAUAACAUGGACACCUAGGCCUCCUGCCCAGGCUCACAUCCUGCCUCUCAUCCUCUUGCUUGCUUCUCCUCAGGUCCGGGGCCUGCAGAUGGCUCCCUUUGGGUGGAAGGAACCGCAGGCUUCCAGUGCACAGAACCUGUCCAGAGAUGUGGGAAGCCCAGGAGGUCAUCAUGUCCUCAUCUUUCCUUCUCCCUCUCCAGAAUCUCAUGUAGCUCAGGCUAGCCCCAAACUUACCAUGUAGCUGAGGAUGACCUUGAGCUCCUGACCCUCCUGACUCUGUAUUGUAAGUGCUGGGCUGACAGGUGUGUACUGCCACACAAGGGUCUGUGGUAUUGGGAACAAACCCAGGGCCUGUAUAUACAAGGUGAG